GGACCAUAGCUCAGUGGAAGACCUUCUGCCUUGCAUGCAGAAGGUCCUAAGUUCAGUCCCCAGCAUCUCUA